rnacentral:lncRNA from 1 species
CUUCAAGUUUGAACCCAGCCUGGGCAACCUAACAACUCAGCAAGACCUUGUUUAAAAAAACAAAACAAAACUAAAGGGUUGGGCAUUUAGUCCAGUGCAAAGACCCUGGGUUCAAUCACCAGUACUGGGGGGAGAAAGUAGUUCAAAAUUUUAUAGAAUCUGGCAUUCCUGUGAUGCUGUAUUCUUAAAGUAUUUCAAAGCCUCGUCUAGGUGCCUAUUUUUAAAUCUUAAAAUGCAGGUCACCCAAGUCCUUCAGAAUGAAUAAGAUUAGGUGAAUCCAGAAGUACUGUUGUGAUGAACACAUCCUUCACUGCACUGAAUUUAAAAGUGGCAUUCUCAGUUGCACCUCCAGGCAGCUGGCACAGGCCUGGACAAAAGGAGACCGCACUGUCAAGCAGCCCAUCUGUUUUCUACCCUAGAAGAUUCUGUGUCUCAAACAACACCGUGGCCCAACAUGUGGGUCGUUGGAGCUAGGUGUGCCUCUCAGCUUUGUACUUGCUGCUGGGGACCUGGAGAGUCACUUCAAUUCUACGAGCCUGUUUCCUGAUCUCCAAAGAGGAUGAUGAAUUCCAUCUCACAAGGCUCUUAUGAAGAUUAGACAUAAUCUACCUAGAAUAUCUAGUAAAUAAUACUUUAUUCUUAUAGUGCUAGAGAUCGAACCCAAGGCCUUGUGCAUGCUAGACAAGUGCUCAUUGCUGGGCUAUCCCCUAGCCCUCAAUAAGGCUUUUUCAGAUUUGCAUGUGGAAAAACUGCAAGGAUUUACAGUUAGAGGAAAUUAGAUUUUUUCAAAUCCUAUAUAAGUUCACAGAAAGCUUUAAUUCAAGAAUUUGCAAAUUCAAAAAAUAGUAGAUACAAAAAUGAUUAUCAAAUAAUAAAAUAUUUUGUCAUGAUCUUUAAUGAAACUAGUUUUCUACUUGGUUAAAAUACACUCUAUGGCCAUUGUAGCUAUUUCCUUCAUUAUGUGUAGCAGCAUUUAAAAUCAUCACUAUAUCACUGUUCAAUAAAAAACUUUCCCAAGACUCAAGAAAAUACACAAAUUGUAUUUUCUCUGUGCUGCAUAUGUAAAGUAAGAACAUUGUAUCAGACUCUAGAAAAAUGAUACCAUUUUUCUGGUUAUUCUAUAAGGAAUAUAAUGACACUAAUCAAAGAAUUUAAAUAUUUGUGUCUGGUUUUUAAAAAGUAGAGAUAAACAACUUAUAACUGUAGCUAGAGGGGGACUUUUGAUGGUUGGGGACAUUUGGGGGGAACUGCAUUUCAUUAUACAGCCUUUGUACCUUUUGAAUGUUGCGCUACGUGCAUAUAUUACUGGUUCAAAAAAAAUAGUUAAUCCUUUUUAAGUAGUGGAAAAGGAAUUUUAAAUAACACUAUCCUUUUCACAGAAAGCUGCUUUUUUAUAAAAUCUCAGACUGGAAUACAGAAAAACCAAACUAAAUUCCCUGAAAAGUCCCAUUGAAGUCUUUUUUUUUUUUUUUUUUUGUACUGGGGAUUGAACUCAGGACCUUGUGCUUGCAAGGUAGGCGGCAGAACUACUGAGCUAAAUCCCCAGCCCAGAGCCCCAUUUAAGUCUGAUAAUGUGUAUGCAUUAAAUCAGUUAAAUGAACCACACUAAAAUAGAUUUACUUAAUAACAACCUCUAAACUCCACUUGAUGGGCAUUCAAAUGAAAACUAAACUGUUUGUACAAAGAGGCCUGAUCCAUUACAAAAACUUUACUAAGAACAUCAAAUUUUAAACAUGGACACUUUUUAAAUAGAGUGAACAGGACGGUGAGCUCGACUUAGCUGUUACAUCAUCAAAAUACCUUUUUUCAAAAUAUUUUGGGCAACUGUGCAGCUUCUACGAUUGUAUCUUUGAUUUUUGUUGACAAAAUUGUAUCAUAUGAAUAAUGAAUAAUCUAUAUAAAUGCUAACUGCUUAUUUAAGCCAAAUAAGCCAGAGUUUUCGAAACAAGAUUAUACUUAAG